AAAAGGUUACGUCACUUGCCGAAAACAAAAAGUGGAAAGUCCCCAUAAAUAAUGAUGAUGUCAAAAUGUGUCAAUUAAAGGCCUGGUUAUGCUCUCGCAAACAUACCGUAAAUGUAAGAAAACGUGUCAGCUGUGUUUUGGCUUAUGAAUACACAUACAACUGAUUACGGAAUGUCUGUCGACUUUAACCGGAAAGUAUAAUUCAGUAAAAACAAAAUUUUACGUUCCGUUUUCGUGUCAGCUGACAAAAUUUUAACAAAUUUCAAUACCAAAAAUUUAAUUUGGAAAAAUGCUGUUUUAUGAUUUUUCUGUGGAAUUUAUCAUAAUUUAUUGUCUAUGGUUUAAGUUUUGGUUGAAUGGAUAGCCCAGCAUGAAAAGAGUACACUAUCUGCCAACGAGCUUUCAUAACAUGCGGUUGUGUGUGUAUUAUAGAUAAGAACGAUAAGACACAUCAAAAUCGAAAAAUGUUGCGAACUAUUAAAUACUGAAAAUCAGAGUUGCAAAAAACACCGAUUUUGACAGAUAGUGUGUUCGAUUUUUUGUUGUUGGCCAACUGCUCCUACCCAGGAUGCACUAAGUAAAUCUAAAUGUCGAAGGCUUGAUAACAUAGCUGCGAUUUUUUCUAAAAUGAGGUUAUAUUUGAUCGGAUAUUCCAAAU